rnacentral:lncRNA from 1 species
UGUAUUAUCGAGAGCGGUACCCCUUGAUAGCAUAAUCGUAUUAUGUCUCAAAUUUGGGACGUGACAUCCACCACUACAUUAGCUCUUCCCAGAGCCUCGAUGCAAUUGAUUGGUGCUAAAUGAAGGAGAACCCAAUAACAGAAAGAGAAUGCCUUGCCACAAGAACUCUGUCGCUUCCCACCAGCAAUCUACUCGGGGAAGUCAAGGUAGAGCCACCUAGCUGUCUGUCCCUUAUAGAUUUGUGGAGCUUGUGUAGCCGAUCGUGGCAGCAAACCCCCGACAAUUUGGCAACUUGGUAUGCUAGGUCCAGGUGC